CAGGAUGAACGCUAGCGGCAGGCUUAACACAUGCAAGUCGAGGGGUAGAAGAAGCUUGCUUCUUUGAGACCGGCGCACGGGUGCGUAACGCGUAUGCAAUCUACCUUUCACAGAGGGAUAGCCCAGAGAAAUUUGGAUUAAUACCUCAUAGUAAUACGACUUGGCAUCAAGAUGUAUUUAAAGAUUUAUCGGUGAAAGAUGAGCAUGCGUCCCAUUAGCUAGUUGGUAUGGUAACGGCAUACCAAGGCUACGAUGGGUAGGGGUCCUGAGAGGGAGAUCCCCCACACUGGUACUGAGACACGGACCAGACUCCUACGGGAGGCAGCAGUGAGGAAUAUUGGACAAUGGGCGCAAGCCUGAUCCAGCCAUGCCGCGUGCAGGAUGACGGUCCUAUGGAUUGUAAACUGCUUUUAUACAGGAAGAAACACCUCUACGUGUAGAGACUUGACGGUACUGUAAGAAUAAGGAUCGGCUAACUCCGUGCCAGCAGCCGCGGUAAUACGGAGGAUCCAAGCGUUAUCCGGAAUCAUUGGGUUUAAAGGGUCCGUAGGCGGUCAGGUAAGUCAGUGGUGAAAGCCCAUCGCUCAACGGUGGAACGGCCAUUGAUACUGUCUGACUUGAAUUAUUAGGAAGUAACUAGAAUAUGUAGUGUAGCGGUGAAAUGCUUAGAGAUUACAUGGAAUACCAAUUGCGAAGGCAGGUUACUACUAAUAUAUUGACGCUGAUGGACGAAAGCGUGGGUAGCGAACAGGAUUAGAUACCCUGGUAGUCCACGCCGUAAACGAUGGAUACUAGCUGUUGGGAGCAAUCUCAGUGGCUAAGCGAAAGUGAUAA
rnacentral:rRNA from 1 species